UCCCUGGUUGUCUAGUGCUUAGGGUUUGGCGCUUUCACCUCCACAGCCCGGGUUCGAUUCCCGGUCAGAGAA
rnacentral:tRNA from 1 species